AAAUAACAGAAAAGUAACAUAAAUUAAUAAUAAAAUAAUAACGGAACAAAAUUUUAAAAUUUACCGCGCCAUUCAAAUUAUCGUCUGUUUUUUUCGGUCGCCAUUUUGUUUCUCGCACGUACUUAUGAAAAAAGGAAUAAAGACGAAAUGAUUUUUUUAGAAGGUUAGAACAGAUAUAUACGAUGUUAUAAGGAUAUGUUUUAUAGUUGAUGCUGUUGGCAGUUGCACUCUGGAGAAGACUGAACCUGUUCAGCAAUAUUAUAAGUUCCCUUUAACAAACGACAGGCUUCCACAGAAACGGCAUCUUUUGGCGUAUUAAUGGCAUCAGCUGUUCACAAGACCUAGUUCGAAUUCAGUUCAUAAACCUCGGAAAUUUUUCACAAGUGAUGUAUGUUCCCGACAUGUUAGAUAUCAC
rnacentral:lncRNA from 1 species